rnacentral:rRNA from 1 species
CAGUGGGGAAUUUUGGACAAUGGGCGCAAGCCUGAUCCAGCAAUGCCGCGUGCAGGAUGAAGGCCUUCGGGUUGUAAACUGCUUUUGUACGGAGCGAAACGGCCUGCUCUAAUAAAGUGGGCUAAUGACGGUACCGUAAGAAUAAGCACCGGCUAACUACGUGCCAGCAGCCGCGGUAAUACGUAGGGUGCGAGCGUUAAUCGGAAUUACUGGGCGUAAAGCGUGCGCAGGCGGUUAUAUAAGACAGAUGUGAAAUCCCCGGGCUCAACCUGGGACCUGCAUUUGUGACUGUAUAGCUAGAGUACGGUAGAGGGGGAUGGAAUUCCGCGUGUAGCAGUGAAAUGCGUAGAUAUGCGGAGGAACACCGAUGGCGAAGGCAAUCCCCUGGACCUGUACUGACGCUCAUGCACGAAAGCGUGGGGAGCAAACAGGAUUAGAUACCCCGGUAGUCCG